CGGGACGGGUGAGUAACGCGUGGGUAACCUUCCUUGUACUGGGGGACAACAGUUAGAAAUGACUGCUAAUACCGCAUAAGCGCACAGUAUCGCAUGAUACAGUGUGAAGAACUCCGGUGGUACAAGAUGGACCCGCGUCUGAUUAGCUAGUUGGUAAGGUAACGGCUUACCAAGGCGACGAUCAGUAGCCGACCUGAGAGGGUGAUCGGCCACAUUGGAACUGAGACACGGUCCAA
rnacentral:rRNA from 1 species